rnacentral:rRNA from 1 species
CCCUUAGAUGUUCUGGGCCGCACACGCGCUACACUGAAGGAGGCAGCGUGUACUCCUGGAUCGAAAGAUUUGGGUAACCCGCGAAUCUCCUUCGUGCUAGGGAUUGAGGUUUGCAAUUAUCCUUCAUGAACGAGGAAUUCCUAGUAAACGCAAGUCAUCAGCUUGCAUUGAUUACGUCCCUGCCCUUUGUACACACCGCCCGUCGCACCUACCGAUUGAAUGGUCCGGUGAAAUCUCGGGACGGCGGCUUGGUCGCUUGCGUCCGACUGCUGAAACUUGAUUAAACCAUAUCAUUUAGAGGAAGGUGAANUCGUANCA